GAUUACGGAUCUGGAUAUCUUCGGGCCGAAUCCUCUCGAGCGGCAGCGGGAUUAGGGCGAGCGACGGAGGCUCGGGCGAAUGAUGCGGGAUUAGGGCGAGCGACGGCGAAGGAUGCGGGAUUAGGGCGAGCGACGAGCUGCGGAUGCGGGCGAGCGACGGAGGCUCGGGCGAAGGAUGCGGGAUUAGGGCGAGCGACGAGCUGCGGAUUAGGGCGAGCGACGGAGGCUCGGGCGAAGGAUGCGGGAUUAGGGCGAGCGACGAGCUGCGGAUUAGGGCGAGCGACGGAGGCUCGGGCGAAGGAUGCGGGAUUAGGGCGAGCGACGAGCUGCGGAUUAGGGCGAGCGACGGAGGCUCGGGCGAAGGAUGCGGGAUUAGGGCGAGCGACGAGCUGCGGAUUAGGGCGAGCGACGGAGGCUCGGGCGAAGGAUGCGGGAUUAGGGCGAGCGACGAGCUGCGGAUUAGAGCGAGCGACGGAGGCUCGGGCGAAGGAUUAGUGAGCACGUUCCUCUCGCCAUGGGAUCCAAUUCAACACCCGCAGCGAAUACAGUUUCUGAUGCAGAAAAGGAAGCUGAAGUUGUUGCUUCUGAAGAAAUAGAGACAGAAAUAAGUUGUGGAAAAAAGAGGAAGAAUAGGAAGAGGAAGGAAUCAACUGAAUGACAACUGAAAUGGAGUUGAGAUUGCUCGAUUUUAGGUUUUAAUCAAGAAGAAAAAAUCUUCGGUUAACUUUUAUCAAGAAGAAAAAAGAACACGUUUCGAGAUUAAUACAACCUUUAACUUUUUUCAUCUGGACUUGGAAUCGAGGGUUCAUUAUUUGGGUGUAGAACAAUGAAUAUUAUGUCGCUUCUAAUCCAGUUUGAGAUUAGAGAAUGGGCUGACUCCAUGAUGUGUCUACAGCCGCGCUCGUUUGGUAAGUUGUUCUUUGCCAAGUCAGACUCUGUGGACAGGGUAACAUUGGCAUUCGGAUGAAAUUUUUCGGAGGAUGAAGAUGGAAAAUGUUAAGACCAGUUGAGCUAGAGGAGAUGAAUGACUCACUUAAAUUUUUUGGUUGAUUUGAUUUUGUACAACAUAAAUUUGAAGAUAAUGUUAACUUUUUGUAUUUACUUAGUACAAUUAUUUCAAAGAGGUGAUUAGUUCAAGGAUUCAUAGACCAGUUGAGCUAGAGGAGAUGAAUGACUCACUUAAAUUUUUUGGUUGAUUUGAUUUUGUACAACAUAAAUUUGAAGAUAAUGUUAACUUUUUGUAUUUACUUAGUACAAUUAUUUCAAAGAGGUGAUUAGUUCAAGGAUU